AUUGAACGCUGGCGGCAUGCCUUACACAUGCAAGUCGAACGGUAACAGGCCGCAAGGUGCUGACGAGUGGCGAACGGGGGAGUAAUGCAUCGGAACGUGCCCAGUCGUGGGGGAUAACUGCUCGAAAGAGCAGCUAAUACCGCAUACGACCUGAGGGUGAAAGCGGGGGACCGAAAGGCCUCGCGCGAUUGGAGCGGCCGAUGUCAGAUUAGGUAGUUGGUGGGGUAAAGGCCUACCAAGCCGACGAUCUGUAGUUGGUCUGAGAGGACGACCAGCCACACUGGGACUGAGACACGGCCCAGACUCCUACGGGAGGCAGCAGUGGGGAAUUUUGGACAAUGGGGGCAACCCUGAUCCAGCAAUGCCGCGUGCAGGAAGAAGGCCUUCGGGUUGUAAACUGCUUUUGUCAGGGAAGAAAUCCUGUGGGUUAAUACCUCGUGGGGAUGACGGUACCUGAAGAAUAAGCACCGGCUAACUACGUGCCAGCCGCCGCAGUAACAC
rnacentral:rRNA from 1 species